rnacentral:miRNA from 1 species
ACAGACAUAAAAGAGACCAAGA